GAUGAACGCUGACAGAAUGCUUAACACAUGCGAGUCUUUGGCGAAGCUGUGCUUGCACAGCCUAGCCAAGGCGGACGGGUGAGUAACGCGUAAGGAACUUGCCCUGCAGUCAGGGAUAACAGACGGAAACGACUGAUAAGACCUGGUAAAGUCAGGCGGACUCAUGUCCAGCCUGAUGAAAAGUGAUGCUGCAGGAGAGCCUUGCGUCCUAUUAGCUUGUUGGAGGGGUAACGGCCCACCAAGGCGAUGAUAGGUAGCCGGCCUGAGAGGGUGGACGGCCACAAGGGGACUGAGAUACGGCCCUUACUCCUACGGGAGGCAGCAGUGGGGAAUAUUGGACAAUGGGGGCAACCCUGAUCCAGCAAUUCUGUGUGCACGAUGAAGGUUUUCGGAUUGUAAAGUGCUUUCAGCAGGGAAGAAAAAAAUGACGGUACCUGCAGAAGAAGCGACGGCUAAAUACGUG
rnacentral:rRNA from 1 species